AAUCCCUUUGAAUCAGCACUCCUGUAUACCUAGUAGUGCAACUGCUGGGUCAUAGGGUAGUUCUAUUUUUAAUUUUUUCAGGAACAUCCAUGUCUUCCAGAAUGACUGCACCAGUUUGCACUCCCACCAGCAGUGCAAAGGAGAUCCUCUUUGUCCGCAUCCUUGCCAACAUCUGUUGUUGCCUGAGUUGUUAAUUUUAGCCAUUCUAACAGGUGUGAGGAGAGAGAGAGACAGAGCAUGAGCAGGAGGGGCAGAGAGAGAGGGAGACACAGAAUCUGAAGUAGGCUCCAGGCUCUGAGCUGUCAGCACAGAGCCUGACAUGGGGCUCGAACUCACAGACCAUGAGAUCAUGACCCGAGCUGAAGAUGGAUACUCAACCGACUGAGCCAGCCAGGCACCCCAAAAGGAGACAUAAUUAUAAAUGUACCUAACAACAGAGUUCCAAAAUACAUAAAGAAUUGAUGGGAGAAAUAAAUAAUUCAACAAUAA